UUAGUGCAAACAACAAAGCUCGCUUGUUCCGUCACACCGCAGGUUGGUUUGUCCCUCCGCCACCACCGCCGUCCAUCCCUGACGCAGCGCCAACACCGGCGUCAAUACCUUCUAGUUCGAUAUGCGGACGGUGGCGGUGUCCAACUCCUCGACUAACUCACCUCCGGAAAGCUAGGCCCUAGACGCACAUUGGCUGUGGUGGCAUCUGGAGUUCAUGAAGUACUGCAUCGCGGCGUACGGCCGUUGCCACUUCGCCCGCGUGUCCGCAGCCCUGCCGUGACGACUCUCCCGCCCAUCAGAGUGUGGCCACUUGGUGCAGCGUCGGCUGGUACUGCGUUUCUGGAGCAGGUCUGUGUCACCUUCAGUUCCAGCCAACAGUGCCUUCAAAAGUGAAGAAGAAACAUGUAGAUCUAAAGUGUUUCUGUGAUGGAGGGGAGCUCUGCAGAUUGAUCUGAGCGCCUAAGCUUGGGGAAAGCCAGUUUUUUGUCCACCAUUUCCAACUUGGAAUUGGAUCCACCCCCCUACAUUUGCAGAUUGGAUACCCGCAACGCAGUGGGAUGGAGGACAGUUCAAGAAAGGAGCAUUCUGUGGUCAGUCUCACCGAUGACCUCCUCCUGGAGAUCCUCUCACGUGUGCCUUACAAGUCCUGUGCCGCCUCAAGUGCGUGUCUAAGUCCUGGCUUGCCUUCUGCUCUGAUCCCAUCGUGUGCAAGAAAGCGCCCCAGACCUUAUCGGGCUUCUUCUACCAAAGUUACACAGAGCUUACAUUCAACCCCUCUGGCCUCUAUCACCACUUCACCAACUUGUUAGGGAGAGGCCAACCUAUGGUUGACCCCUCCCUUAACUUCUUAUUUUCAGCCAACUAUGUUGAAGUCAAGUUUGUCCACUGCUACAAUGGCCUUCUUCUGUGCUAAUGCAAGAAGGAGUCUUCGGUCUGUGAAUAUGACCAUGUUGUCUGUAAUCCUGCUACUGAGAAAUGGACUGUAUUGCCAAAGACAGAAGCAAGGCUAGGAAGAUCUGCCAUGUAUUUGGGUUUCGACCCAACCGUGUCCUCACACUUUACAGUGUUUUUGCUCUCAGAGUUCACACGUGGUGUGCAGGAUAAUGAAGUUCAUGAGGAGGAUCUGAUUGAUGAUUGGUACCAUCAAGUCAUUGCCUUGGAGAUCUACUCAUCACAAACUGGGAGGUGGACUUACCACCAAAGUCAAUGGGGUGAAAAAUCUAUAACAAUAUUUAACUCCAGUGUCUUUUAUAAUGGUGCUCUGCAUGUGAUUACCCUUGAUUCUUCAGUAAACACAGUGGACACAGAAGGAAAGAUAUGGAGAACUAUUCGUACGCCCUACUAUUUUAGAUUCAUCGGGAUGUAUCAAGGGCACUUGUAUGCUGUGCGCCGUCCCAGGUACAGCUCUGAACUACCAAUUUGGGUUCUCAAUGAUUAUGGUGGCAAAGAGUGGAGCCUAAAGCAGACUAUCAAUUCAAUUGAAUUAUUUGGAACACAUAAUAUUUUCUUUGAAGAUGAUUUUCCACCUAGUGUGAUUGCAUUCCAUCCAGAAUGUAGUGUGGUUUUCAUGAUUUUGGGCUGUGCAGAAACCUUGUGUCCUACAAUAUAGAUAACAGAAAAGUGCAUGAUAUCUGCAUUCUUUCAGACCAAUCUGUGGACCCAUAUCUACCUUACAUCCCUUGCUUCUCAGAAUGGUUUUCAGAUGGGCACUAAAAGAUGCAGCAGCUUGCCAGUGUGAUGACAUUGGUGCCUUAAUGCAUGGUUAGUGUAAGGUCAUCUGUAGGGCAACAUACUGGAUCUGUCAAUGGUCGCUGCUAUUUACGGAAAGUGCAAGAGCGAGUCUCAAGGAUGGAUGCAGAUUGCUUGAAUAGUCAUCAUGGAAGUAAAUGUGAAGUUCGGCUGGAAAUUUCGGAAUAGAAGUGAAGUUUCACUUCAGUCUUUACUUCGUUAUUAUUGCUAAUUGUUUCUGAACUAUAUCUGUUGGAGAUGGAGUCUAUGUGCUCAUGAUGUAUUGAACAGCUGUGUUUUCCCUUUUGGUGGAGUAGAGGCUGGAACCUGUUCUAUUGUCUAAAAGAAAAGUUAUGAACAAAACCGUUACUUCGAUGCACGAGGUAUAAUGCCUUUUCAUCCUGUUUGCUGCUCCCACUUAAUGCCUGCUCCAAGUCAUUGACAUUGAAGUUGAAGCCACUGUUUGAGUUGUGCAAUUGAACAGACUCAAAUGCACAUCAAUUUGGACCACACAUAUAAUUGUACCAGAAAGAUUGGGUACACUUGAUUUUAAAAUGAUCUGUGCCUAGUUUCAGUAAAUCUUGAAUGUUGAAGUUGAUCUAUGCCAGGUUCAAGGGCUUGUUUGGUUCAAGCCCUGCGACAAAUUUGGUUGGUCUCCUGAGUAGCUGCCUGUACCGGGAAAGUGCGUGGAUGUCCAGGCGAUUGAUAUCGAGCGCCUGGCUGCAAUGCCGGUGUUGCCUAGGCAAAUUGCUCUAAUUAGUUUGUCUCUACCAUUUCUCUUGUUUCUUUUGUCCGAUUCCUACUGCUCUUAAAUAAAACCAAAUUGGCUUUUUUUUUCUUAUCA